GAAAUGCGAUAAUUAAUGUGAAUUGCAGAAUUCAGUGAAUCAUCGAGUCUUUGAACGCACAUUGCGCCCCCUGGUAUUCCGGGGGGCAUGCCUGUCCGAGCGUCAUUGCUGCCCUCAAGCACGGCUUGUGUGUUGGGCUUCCGUCCCUGGCAACGGGGACGGGCCCAAAAGGCAGUGCGGCACCAUGUCUGGUCCUCGAGCAUAUGGGGCUUUGUCACCCGCUCCCGUAGGUCCAGCUGGCAGCUAGCCUCGCAACCAAUCUUUUUAACCAGGUUGACCUCGGAUCAGGUAGGGAUACCCGCUGAACUUAAGC
rnacentral:misc_RNA from 1 species